rnacentral:rRNA from 1 species
GUGGGGAAUCUUGCGCAAUGGGCGAAAGCCUGACGCAGCCAUGCCGCGUGAAUGAUGAAGGUCUUAGGAUUGUAAAAUUCUUUCACCGGGGACGAUAAUGACGGUACCCGGAGAAGAAGCCCCGGCUAACUUCGUGCCAGCAGCCGCGGUAAUACGAAGGGGGCUAGCGUUGCUCGGAAUUACUGGGCGUAAAGGGCGCGUAGGCGGACAGUUUAGUCAGAGGUGAAAGCCCAGGGCUCAACCUUGGAAUUGCCUUUGAUACUGGCUGUCUUGAGUACGGGAGAGGUGAGUGGAACUCCGAGUGUAGAGGUGAAAUUCGUAGAUAUUCGGAAGAACACCAGUGGCGAAGGCGACUCACUGGCCCAAUACUGACGCUGAGGCGCGAAAGCGUGGGGAGCAAACAGGAUUAGAAACCCUUGUAGUCC